GGCGGGAUGGCCUAAUGGUAAGGCGUUGCUUUCCGGUGGCAAAGAUUGUGGGUUCGAGUCCCAUUUCCGUCG
rnacentral:tRNA from 1 species